rnacentral:rRNA from 1 species
AGAUCAGACAAGAAUACCCACUGAACUUAAGCAUAUCAAUAGCGGAGGA